ACUCAAAGGAAUAGACGGGGGCCCGCACAAGCGGCGGAGCAUGCGGAUUAAUUCGAUGCAACGCGAAGAACCUUACCUGGGUUUGACAUAGGAAGAAAUCCAUCAGAGAUGGUGGGUCCGUAAGGGCUUUCUACAGGUGGUGCAUGGCUGUCGUCAGCUCGUGUCGUGAGAUGUUGGGUUAAGUCCCGCAACGAGCGCAACCCUCGUUCCAUGUUGCCAGCAGCGGCUUCGGCCGGCUGGGGACUCAUGGGAGACUGCCGGGGUCAACUCGGAGGAAGGUGGGGAUGACGUCAAGUCAUCAUGCCCCUUAUGUCCAGGGCUUCACGCAUGCUACAAUGGCCGGUACAAAGGGCUGCGAUCCCGUGAGGGGGAGCGAAUCCCAAAAAGCCGGUCUCAGUUCGGAUUGGGGUCUGCAACUCGACCCCAUGAAGUCGGAGUCGCUAGUAAUCGCAGAUCAGCAACGCUGCGGUGAAUACGUUCCCGGGCCUUGCACACACCGCCCGU
rnacentral:rRNA from 1 species